UACGUAGGGCGCAAGCGUUAUCCGGAAUUAUUGGGCGUAAAGAGCUCGUAGGCGGUUUGUCGCGUCUGCCGUGAAAGUCCGGGGCUCAACUCCGGAUCUGCGGUGGGUACGGGCAGACUAGAGUGAUGUAGGGGAGACUGGAAUUCCUGGUGUAGCGGUGAAAUGCGCAGAUAUCAGGAGGAACACCAGUGGCGAAGGCGCCGCUCUGGGCCGUGACUGACGCUGAGGAGCGAAAGCGUGGGUAGCAA
rnacentral:rRNA from 1 species